rnacentral:rRNA from 1 species
GACGAACGCUGGCGGCGUGCUUAACACAUGCAAGUCGAACGGAAAGGCCCUGCUUUUGUGGGGUGCUCGAGUGGCGAACGGGUGAGUAACACGUGAGUAACCUGCCCUUGACUUUGGGAUAACUUCAGGAAACUGGGGCUAAUACCGGAUAGGAGCUCCUGCUGCAUGGUGGGGGUUGGAAAGUUUCGGCGGUUGGGGAUGGACUCGCGGCUUAUCAGCUUGUUGGUGGGGUAGUGGCUUACCAAGGCUUUGACGGGUAGCCGGCCUGAGAGGGUGACCGGCCACAUUGGGACUGAGAUACGGCCCAGACUCCUACGGGAGGCAGCAGUGGGGAAUAUUGCACAAUGGGCGGAAGCCUGAUGCAGCAACGCCGCGUGCGAGAUGACGGCCUUCGGGUUGUAAACCGCUUUCGCCUGUGACGAAGCGUGAGUGACGGUAAUGGGUAAAGAAGCACCGGCUAACUACGU